UACGUAGGGUGCGAGCGUUGCCCGGAUUUAUUGGGCGUAAAGGGCGCGUAGGCGGCUCGGCACGUCCGUUGUGAAAUCGCCCGGCUCAACUGGGCGGGUCAGCGGAUACGGUCGAGCUUGAGCAAGCUAGGGGGCAAUGGAAUUCCCGGUGUAGUGGUGGAAUGCGUAGAUAUGCGGAGGAACACCGAUGGCGAAGGCAAUCCCCUGGGCCUGCACUGACGCUCAUGCACGAAAGCGUGGGGAGCAAACAGG
rnacentral:rRNA from 1 species